rnacentral:rRNA from 1 species
CCCUUAGAUGUUCUGGGCCGCACGCGCGCUACACUGAUUCAUGCAACAAGUUUUGUCCUUGGCUGAUAGGCCUGGGUAAUCUUUGAACGUGAAUCGUGAUGGGGAUAGAUGAUUGCAAUUAUUCAUCUUCAACGAGGAAUUCCUAGUAAACGCAAGUCAUCAGCUUGCAUUGAUUACGUCCCUGCCCUUUGUACACACCGCCCGUCGCACCUACCGAUUGAAUGGUCCGGUGAAAUCUUCGGAUCUGAGAGAUGUCUGAUUAAUUUCGGACGCCUUUUGGAAAAGUUGUUUAAACCUUACCAUUUAGAGGAAGGUGAAGUCGUAAC